UUAAAGCUCUGCUUCAUAAUACACAAUGUCAAAUAAUAGCUUAGGCAAGAUUAUUCUUUAGAGUCCAAUUAUAAAAUUUUCUCCGAGAUAUUUUCACCAAAAUUAAAAUGUUUCACAUAAAAAUCUUUGUACUACUUCACAAAUUUAACAUUGUAAAUAGCAAGUAUUUUAAGAUACUUCAGUAACUCUAUGAAUGUUUAGUAUUGUAUACCCUAGUCACUCAAUUCAUUACUCUGAAACUUGGUGGCUUUGGGAACCACCUGUAAUUUGUUUCAAAAAUCAAAAGCAUCCCAGCAGAAACUUCAGUGUUUGUUUAGCCUGUUUUCACCGACUCUAUCCAACUUAAACCAAUUCUUCAAAAAGCUUUAGUUAUCCAUGUCUUAGAAAGUUUUGUCUAUCAUCACUUUUAAAUUUUUUCAGAUUUGUUUUUGUUUAUUCCGGUGUUGCUUUAUGGGAGUGAAGUAAAGAUAAAGUGAAGGCCAUAUUUUAAGAACACGCUCUAGGAAAGAGCUUUAGUACGACUUUCAGUUCCUUCAAGGAUUCAUUACAAAUCUUUUAAAAAUGGAACACCAAAAAUUGACCAGAGACAUAUUCCGGGGCCCUUAGUUUCCCACUUUGAGAGACGUUAUACAUAGGAACUUCCGGUUUAUUCAUAAUGAGGUGAGACAUCACCGUGGCUUUGAGUAUAUAGCUACAGUAUUUCACAAGGUCCUUUCUCUAGAGUAAGUUAGGGCAGAAAGUUUAAGGGGAAAUAAUUCCCCUAGUAAUAAGGUGAAGGCAGCAGGUCUAACAGAUAUUUCUCCUCGCUCCGCCAUUGCUGCUGACCGGAGGAGCAGCCUAGAAAUUAGCCGUCCUCCUUCCUACAGGCAGCCCCUUUACUAUUCUGCACAUCUUCGAACUCUCCCUGUCUUCUAAGUCCUCGCUAUGUGGAAGAGCAACCUGAGUAUCACCAGUGCAGAACCUUGAGCCUGUCCUAGAUAUGCUGAAUUAGAAUCCACGUGGCUACAAGAUCUCCAGAUCACUUAUGACCACAAGAAAGUUCCAGAGGCAAUCUUUUGCAGAGACUACUUUGAAUGUUAAAACAGCCAGGACAAUAGUCUUGUUGACCAUUAUAUUGGAUCAAGAAGUCUGCCUCACAUUGCCCUGUCGUGUUGAUUUCUGUUACUGUUGCUUCCUGAGAGAAAUAACAUCUGAAUGCAAGCUUUGAAAAUGGUGAAGGAAGAGAGAGAAGUUGUUUCCUUUGGGAAAGAGAGGUGGGUUUCUGAUAAAUGCAACCAGACACUUUUGAGUUAGGUAUGGACAGUGGUGUGAGUCAAAGCUUUUCUUAUUUUCCAGGUACCUCUCCUUCAUGUUCUAAUUCGCAGGCUAGAGUUUCAGGAAUUCAGGAUCAUUUCUUAAUUAAUCCUUAUUGUUUGUGAACAUAGUGGAAAUUCCUCUGAAGUCUAGGAUAUAGUCUUUUGCCUCCUGUCAGUAUAGUUGCCAGGUUUGUCUUUGUGGAUUUUCAUAGAUAUUGUAAUUAGAAGUUUGGAAAAGCUGAAUUAGGCACUGCCAGUCUUAUUGUUAUGAUAACAAAGAAGUCCUGAAAUAUUUUAUAUAUCCAUGUCAUGGAGGUUAAGACCAGAAUUUACAUGGAAACUUUUGUAAGAUAUUUAUACAGACAGGAAAUUCAAACUCACCACAUUUGUUUUAUUUCUGUUCUCACUUAUAUUCUACAGCUUCUACAUGGUAACUCUUUAUGGCAAACAUGAUGCUAUGGUUUCCAAAGAAAGGCUUAAUAGGACUCUGCUCUAUUUGUAAUUGGGAGGUGUGCGGUGGUUCAAAGGAAAGAGUACUGAAUUCACUGUCUGGAGAAUCUGGAAUUCCAAAGCUAUGAAUCUGAGUCUUGGUGUGUCAUUUACUAGUUAUGCGAAACUAAGCUAAAUUAAUUUUUUCUGAGUUUCGGUUUCCUCAUCUGCAAAAUGACAUUAGUAAUGCCUCAUGAGGUUGUUGUGAGACUUAGAUACUGUUUGGAGAAGUGCAAUGUCAGCUGCAUAAUGGUAAACAAAGUUAGGUGUGGUCUUUUCCCUGAUGGAGCUGCUUAUCAAAGAGGGACAGUCAGUAAUUAGAUAAUAUCACCCACAAAUGUAAAAUUGCACUUGCGACAGGUGCUGUGACACAGAGUUUUUUUGCACCUACAUCUUAUCUUCCAAAAAAUCCUAUUAUCUCUGCCUUUAAAAUACAGGUAGUCCUCACUUUGUGGUUCUGAUAGACAUGAAUUGCAGUUAUCAUUGGUUUAAUUAAGUAAUACCAGUUCACCAAUAACACAGUUCAAAUUUAAGUUACCACAGUAUAUUAACUAUGAGUAAGUACAUAAAGUACAAACUUCACUGCUUACUCUUCAGUCCACAUAUUCUUACAUAAAUGAGAAAUGUGCAUCAUAAUCAAUGACCUAUCACUUUGUUUCUUUUAAAGCCUGUUGGUGUUUGGUCACUGCACAUUUGUUAUUUAGUUCAUGCACAGACAGCAAAGUGUGCGAUCUCAUUGCCUCUUCAUUUCUUGGUGAUAAACCGACACAGCAUUUUGCAAAAAUGGAUAAUUGAAAAAGGGACUGACCCACAAAGAUUAAAAUGUAGCAAAGAAAUGAAAAAUGAUAAUGCUUGAAGUGAAAUUCAAAUCGAACACAAGUGGAGUUAUAGAAGAAACACCUGUUCAGGGAAAUGUUGGCACAGCCAUAGUUCAAGAGACUCUAGAUUUGUCGCUAGAGGGACUUAGUUAAGAUAGACUUAUCAACAUAAGUGAAGAAAGAGGUCUUGGCAAAAAAAAGAUGAAUGCCCCAGAGAAGGUGAUGCUGACAAAUAACUUUACACUAAGAGAACUCUAGGAGGUAUUUCAAGACAUCGAAAGUGCAAAGGAUAAAAUGUUUGAAGCCCACAUAGACUUAGGAGCACCACCAUUCACCAAGGCAUAGGAGAGAUGCUUGCUCAUUAUUUUAAGUUUUACAAAAAGAAAAGGGCAAAUUCUGUUCAAAUGACUCUUGAAGGGUUUUUUUUUUUUUUUUUUUUUUUCAAAGAAAACACU